rnacentral:tRNA from 1 species
CAGAGUGUAGCUUAAAUAGAAUAGCAUCUCCCUUACACCGAGAAGAUUCCCGUGCAAAUCGGGCCACACUGAACACCCCC